UCUGAGCUGCCCUGGACGACCUGCAACAACUUUUGGAACACAGAGCAUUGCACGGACUUUCUGAACCACUCAGGAGCCGGCACAGUGACCCCAUUUGAGAAUUUUACCUCACCUGUCAUGGAAUUCUGGGAGUAGGUGCUGGGCCCAUUUGCCACAUAUGAAGAGGAAAUUUGGAUGUCUGAGCUGUGCAAGUCUGAAUGUCUGGGGUGCAAGUUUAAGAUUCUGUGUGUGCUUUCCAGCACUUCCUCCCCCGCCCCACUCCAACCCCACACAUCACUGAGGCAGGGGAGAACGCUCUCACAUCUACCCACACGGGUCCACGGAGACUCACAUUUAUCCGUCAUGUCCACCUUCAGCCCCACAUCCCUACCUCCAUGCGUGUGUCUGCCCACACAUGUCCAGUGGGGUGCUGGACAGAGUCUUCACAGCUUUAGGGGAGCUGAGUGUGCAUGUCUCUUCCCACUGCCAUGCUCGGUGGUGUCAUGCCAGUAGCUUGAAAUUGCCCAAGGCGGGAGUGCUCACAUCAAGACAUGGGCACACCCUCCACUCACACACUCACCCUCUCACCUGACAACGUACCCCUUCACAUUACGUGUGCCCACACUCGUCCACCUGCAUUCCCACGCAAGACUGCCUGUACUCUCUCACACUGAGCUAACCCCCAC
rnacentral:lncRNA from 10 species